rnacentral:rRNA from 1 species
UUCGCAAUGCCCGAAAGGGUGACGAAGCGACGCCGCGUGAGCGAAGAAGGCCCUAGGGUUGUAAAGCUCUGUCGGGGGUUAUAAAAUGCAGGUUGGUUAAUACCCAACCUGUUUGACAAAGGCCCCAAAGGAAGCCACGGCUAACUCUGUGCCAGCAGCCGCGGUAAUACAGAGGUGGCAAGCGUUGUUCGGUAUUAUUGGGCGUAAAGAGCACGUAGGUGGUUUUGUAAGUCAGAUGUGAAAGCCUUCUGUUCAAAGGAAGAACGGCAUCUGAAACUGCAGAUCUUGAGUGUAGGAGGGGAGAGUGGAACUUCUGGUGGAGCGGUGAAAUGCGUAGAUAUCAGAAGGAACGUCGGCGGCGAAAGCGACUCUCUGGCCUAUUACUGACACUGAGUGUGCGAAAGUUAGGGGAGCAAACGGGAUUAGGUACCCCGGUAGUCCUAACUGUAAACGAUGGGCACUAAGUAGAGGGGUUUU